rnacentral:rRNA from 1 species
ACACUCCUACGGGAGGCAGCAGUGGGGAAUAUUGGACAAUGGGCGCAAGCCUGAUCCAGCCAUGCCGCGUGAGUGAUGAAGGCCCUAGGGUUGUAAAGCUCUUUCACCGGUGAAGAUAAUGACGGUAACCGGAGAAGAAGCCCCGGCUAACUUCGUGCCAGCAGCCGCGGUAAUACGAAGGGGGCUAGCGUUGUUCGGAUUUACUGGGCGUAAAGCGCACGUAGGCGGACUAUUAAGUCAGGGGUGAAAUCCCGGGGCUCAACCCCGGAACUGCCUUUGAUACUGGUAGUCGUGAGUUCGAGAGAGGUGAGUGGAAUUCCGAGUGUAGAGGUGAAAUUCGUAGAUAUUCGGAGGAACACCAGUGGCGAAGGCGGCUCACUGGCUCGAUACUGACGCUGAGGUGCGAAAGCGUGGGGAGCAAACAGGAUUAGAAACCCUGGUAGUCCCAUG